rnacentral:rRNA from 1 species
GAUGAACGCUGGCGGCGUGCUUAACACAUGCAAGUCGAACGAUGAAGCCCAGCUUGCUGGGUGGAUUAGUGGCGAACGGGUGAGUAACACGUGAGUAACCUGCCCUUAACUCUGGGAUAAGCCUGGGAAACUGGGUCUAAUACCGGAUAGGAGCGUCCACCGCAUGGUGGGUGUUGGAAAGAUUUAUCGGUUUUGGAUGGACUCGCGGCCUAUCAGCUUGUUGGUGAGGUAAUGGCUCACCAAGGCGACGACGGGUAGCCGGCCUGAGAGGGUGACCGGCCACACUGGGACUGAGACACGGCCCAGACUCCUACGGGAGGCAGCAGUGGGGAAUAUUGCACAAUGGGCGCAAGCCGGAUGCAGCGACGCCGCGUGAGGGAUGACGGCCUUCGGGUUGUAAACCUCUUUCAGUAGGGAAGAAGCGAAAGUGACGGUACCUGCAGAAGAAGCACCGGCUAACUACGUG